CCCAAGUUUUCUUUUCAUUUGAAGACAAACAAAGAGAGAGAGAGAGAGAGAGCGAAAAGACAGAGCUCAUCCCGAUCCUCUCCACCGGCGACCAUCGAAACCAUCUUCUUCUCUUAAAGAGUUGAUGAUCUUGGACAAAAUCAUGGCUGGUUCUCCUUAACAUACCCUCUAUUGAUGCAAAAAUGGGUCAAGCGAAAGAAGACCUAAUUGGCCUUCACCGACUGGAAGGUAACCGUAAUCAAACGUCUAGAAGGUUUCUUUCAAUCGCAACCGAAGAACUUUCCUGGAGGAGAAUGGUUGAAGAAGCUGGCGACGGUUUACAAGGGCACCGUGAAUCUGUCCGAUGGAUGAUACGAAGAAGUUCCCAAAGUAAAAUUAUGAUGGGUCCAACGGGUUUGGGUCAUAAGGUUCCAACCAAACUGGUUCAGGUGAAAGGAAAUAUUUUAGAAAGUGGUCGUUUGGUUUGUGUUAGAACGGAUUCGGUUCUGAGUGGGUUCGGACCAAACUGGAUACGGGUCAAAUCGAAGUACUUCAAAAAGUGGUGGUUCACAUAACAUGAUAUGCGUUUUUGUAACUUGGAUAGAAAGUUUUUCUUUAUUUUUUAGGGAUCAUUUGCCGCCUGGGAUAUGAUGGCUGAUGCAAACAUACCUCAAGGUGCCAUUACGACGUCAUAGAAGAUAAAGAUUUACAAAAAUUUCGCCUCGCAGCUGAUGGCUAGAAAAAAGUUUUUGAUGAUGUUCCGAGAAGAAUUAGAGCAAAGCUAUAACAAGGGUAACUUCAACUAAACCUGUUGCACAUCAGGUACAUGUGUUUAAUUUGACUUAGUUUGGGCUACUCAAAUCAAUCAGUAACAGGGUUUGUAAUUUUAAUUAAUUAAUACCAUUUUGUGGAAAUAUUUAUGUAAAAUUUGUAUGUACUUCAUGUCUGGGGAUAAGGGACUUUGCUCUUUUCCAUUGGCAAUAGUUAGAACUAAAACCAAACCGGUUAGUUAUAUCUGAUUGUAAAAAUUGGCUAAAAACCUACAUACUUUUGUACCAGUACAGAUAUAAUAUUUGAUGCAAUAAACAGUAAGGACUUCAUUGAAGCGAGCAUGUUCGGGAAUCUUUUGGAGUUCGCAACGAAGAUAUAUUCUUUCCUGCAAUAAAGGGAAAGUUUUUUGCUUCGUUUCUAAGACCGAAAGUAGUCCCAACGUUUGUCCAAAAGUUGUUAUGAUUAGAGGUGGAUAUUUCAACAUAACCGGUCAAUUUAGAUAAUAUUUUAUUGGUAACGGUUCAAAUUUAUCUAGGGCUGGUAGUUGUACCCAUUUUGACUUGACCCAAUUCUUCGUCGUUUGUAUUGUGGGCUGUAAUUCAAAUAAUUUGCAGGUGUUUCACGAGGAAAAGGUCGAGAUUUAUUCUUGCGGUCAUUUUAUGAGAGCUUACAUUUGCUUCAAGAAAAGAAGCUCAUUUUCUGUCUUACACUCUCCAGGCUUGCGUGUUGGCGGAUAGUCUUGACAUGACUCAUGGCAGCGUGUGGUUCUGUUGGAACUGGCUUGUGAGUAUUUUGUUGGGAGAUUUGGAACUUAGCUCGUAAGAAUAAACAAGAUUAUGAUUAUGUUCUUUUAUACUGUUGUGUUUGCUUGAAUAUGUUGUUUUGUAUAGUCAAAAUGAAUGAAUUGUUACUGCAAGAAAAUAGCUUGA